rnacentral:lncRNA from 1 species
UGACCAAAUUAUCCCUGGAUGAUUCUUGAUCGUCCAACAGCCUUUAUGAUCAAUCUAGAAAACUUCUAUGCGUGUGACCCCAUAGGCUUGAACCUAAGCCGGUAGCACAGGAAUAACUUUCUAUACUAAUCGAUGUAACCAUCUAGCAAUGGUACCCGACGUCUGAAUAGGCCGAAUAUAUGCGAAGCAAUAUUCAGGAACUCUGGACUAUGGUUACCGUAUAAUUCAUCCCUAUGACUCCUAAUGCCAGGAUGAGAUCAGAGUUCUGUCAACUCUGUAAUAGUACAUCCACUCUGUGAUUCAACUUUAAAAAUUCUGUGACUCCUCACAAGGAUUACCCUGGUCAAGAUUUUGCUAAAUUGAACAUAAGGGCAUUAUCUCCUGUCACCAGGAGGAGUCAAUUCCAUCUUGACUCACACACCGACUUCGCAAGUACUUGACUGUACCCAAUGACCUUCCAACCCUGAAUUAGAAAUUCAGCUAGUCCGAUAUCAAAAUACCGUAAGUUGCUUGCUAAUUCUAUGGUGAUCUCAGGUCUGAGGGACAUAUAUACCUAUAUCCACUCAAA